UACGUAGGGCGCAAGCGUUGUCCGGAAUUAUUGGGCGUAAAGGGCGCGUAGGUGGCGUCGCAAGUCAACGGUGAAAGCUCGACGCUUAACGUCGAGUCGGCCGUCGAGACUGCGAGGCUCGAGCACUGUAGAGGCUCAUGGAAUUCCGGGUGUAGCGGUGGAAUGCGUAGAGAUCCGGAAGAACACCGGUGGCGAAGGCGGUGAGCUGGGCAGUUGCUGACACUGAGGCGCGACAGCGUGGGGAGCAAACAGG
rnacentral:rRNA from 1 species